UACCAGACUCCUACGGGAGGCAGCAGUGGGGAAUAUUGGGCAAUGGGCGCAAGCCUGACCCAGCAACGCCGCGUGAAGGAAGAAGGCUUUCGGGUUGUAAACUUCUUUUAUUCGGGACGAAGAAAGUGACGGUACCGAAUGAAUAAGCCACGGCUAACUCCGUGCCAGCAGCCGCGGUAAUACGUAGGUGGCAAGCGUUAUCCGGAUUUACUGGGUGUAAAGGGCGUGUAGGCGGGACUGCAAGUCAGAUGUGAAAUUCCAGGGCUCAACCCUGGACCUGCAUUUGAAACUGUAGUUCUUGAGUGAUGGAGAGGCAGGCGGAAUUCCGUGUGUAGCGGUGAAAUGCGUAGAUAUACGGAGGAGCACCAGUGGCGAAGGCGGCCUGCUGGACAUUAACUGACGCUGAGGCGCGAAAGCGUGGGGAGCAAACAGGAUUAGAUACCCGAGUAGAG
rnacentral:rRNA from 1 species